GCAUCAAGAGAUGCUUAUUUCACCCAACAAUACCACAAAUAUCUAAACCAACAAAAGAGAUCAAUCCAAAUUCAAAUUUUUAUCACAAUGUCUGAUUCUCGUCAAAUCAAAGACAGUGAUGUGAAGCCAAUCAUUUUUCGAGAAUACAUUGGCGUGAAGCCAUAUCCAGACACUUUACAUAAUUUCCCAACUGAUAUCAUCAACUCCAAGAUCCACCAAUUCCACUUCAUUUAAGGCUUUGCCACAGAGACUUACGAUGAUAGUGGAAAAGGCACAGGAGUUUUCAACCCAAAUUGGAACGUUCAUUUCUUCAGUCCUGAAAAAGUGAAGGAACUCAAGCAAAAUCAGAAGUAGAAUGGCCUUACAAUGCUGUAAACUCAUAAAAAUGUGAAGGUUGUAAUAAGCAUCGGUGGUCGUGGUGAUAAACAUCCAUUCAAUCCUGCUUCAAAAGUAGAAUGGCCUUACAAUGCUGUAAACUCACUCAAAAAGAUCAUGCAGCAAUACAACGAAGUCAAGGAUCCUUGGAGCUUUAACAUAAUAGAUGGCAUUGAUAUCAACUAUGAGUACAUCACAUCCGAUGGUGGAGAUUUCUCUUCUGGUGUGGGGGAUGUUAUAAAGAGACUCAAGGAGGAUACUGAUCUAUCUGUCGAUGUGGUUUCCAUUGCUCCAUCUAAACCAGUCAAUUCCAAGUACCAUACACUAUUUUUGGCUCGCCAUGAUUAUAUUGAUUGGGUGGACUAUCAGUUCUACUUUGAGACUCUCAAAUCAAAGGAUGAGUUUAAAAAUAUCUUUCUUAGUCUAUCAGACGUCUACGGUUCUAAAAAACUUCUGGCAGGAGCUAGUACUGAUCCAGAUGACGCAGGUAAAAUUUCACGAGAAGACUUCCUUGAGGGUGUUAUCGAUCUCCUCGAUGCUGAAUCACUUCGUGGCAUUUUUAUUUGGAAUGCUAAUGACUCUGCAACCCCUCCACCCAACGGAAAACCUUUCUCCUUUGAGAUAAAGGCACAAGAACUCCUCACUAAAUCAGGAUAAUUAAUUACUAUCUAGCUAUCUAGCUACCUAGUAGUUAUUUAAAACGCAUUCUACGGGUCAUUAAUAAAUAAUAGCUAGAUCUUGUCAUGAUAAAGUUUGUUUCUUAUAUCUUCUAAAUAAGACCCGUCUGGCUUGAAUGGAUGAUUUUACUAUUGCAUGGGUGUUUGUGUAUCGCACAAUUUUCUUAUUUUAUUUCAUUAUGUAUUUGUAUGAUAUCUCCUGUCAUAUGUGGAUUUUUUUUAUAUAUUUUAUUUUAUGUUUGUUUAUAUAUAAGUAUGUUGGUUCUCAUGUA